GACCAGAACCACAAUGACUAACCGGAACCCUCACCCAAACCCUAACCCUAAACUAAAACUCUAACCCUUAACACCUUACCAUAACCAGAAUCCUAACCCUACCCAACCCGAACCCUAAACCUAACCCUCACCCAAACGACAAAGACUAACACAAACCGUGACCCUAAUCCUAACCAUAACACUAAACUUAACCCUAACCUAAAAUUUAACCCUAACCCUAAAACUAAAAAGAACCCGUAAACUUAACCCUAACCCUAAACAUAACCUUAACACUAACCUGAAACCAAACUCAAACCUUAACCAUAACCCUAAAACUAACCCUCAGCCUAUCUUAAACUUCACCCUAUCCCUAAGCUAAAGCUCACCCUAACUUUAACCUUAACCCUACCCCUAAAUCAAACCCUAAACUUAACCUUGGCCCACCUGUAGUACCCUAAACCUAACCCUUACAAUAACUCUGACCCUAACCCUCACCCUUACCCUAACCCUAACUGUAACCCUCACCCUUAACCUAAACUUCACACUAACCCUAAAUCUAAACAUAACCCUACCCCCAAACAUAACCCCUAACCCUAAUCCAAACGCUAAACCUAACCUUAACACUAACCUGAACACGAACCCAAACUCUAGCCCUAACCUUAAAAAUAACACUCACCAUAUCGUAAACUUCAUCCAAACCCUAACCCUAAAUCUAAACCUAACCCAAACCCUAAACUUAAACUUUAACCAUAACGCUAGUCCACCUGUAACCCUAAACCUAACCCUUACAAUAGCCCUGAACCUAACAAUAACCCUUACCCAAAACCCUAACCCAAAUCCUAACCCGAAGCCUAAACCGAAGGCUAACGUGAACCCAAACCCGAACCCUAAACACAAACCAUAUCACUAGCCCUAGCCCUAGGCCCUAGCCCAAGUCCUAGCCCUAGCCCUAGCCCUAACCCUAACACUAACUCGAACCCUAAAACCUAACCCUAAACAUUAACCCUAACCCUGAACACUAACCCUAACACUAACCGCUAACCCUAAACCCAAACCCUAAAAACUAACCCUAACCCUGAACACUAACCCUAACACUAACUGCUAACCCUAAACCCUAACCCUAACCCUAAACCCUAACACUAACCCUAACACUAACCAUGAACCCUAACCCUAAACUCUAACCAUCAGCCUAACCCAAAACCCUAACCCUAACCCUAAACUCUAGCCCUAAAACCCUAGCCCUAGACCUAGCCCUAACACCAAGCCCUAGCCCUAGCCCUAACCCUAACCCUAACCUCUAACCUCUAAAACUAACCCUAGCCCUAACCCUAAACCCUAAAUCCUAACCCUAAACCCAAACCCUAAACCUAACCCUGACUCUAACCCCUAACCCUGACCCAGACCCUGACCCUAAACCGUGACAAUGACCCUAAACCCUGACCAUGACCCUAACCCUGACCGUGACCCUAACCCUGACCCUAAACUCUGACCCUGACACUAAACACUGACUCUGACCCUGACCCUAAACUCUAUCACUAAACACUAAACCCUAACCCCUAGCCCUAACACAUAGCCCUAACCUUACCCCAACCCUAAUCCUAAACCCUAAACCCUAACCAUAAAAACAAACCCUAAACCUAACCCUGACCCUAACCCCUAACCCUGACCCUGACCCUGACCCUAAACCCUGACCAUAAACCCUGACCCUGACACUAAAAACUGACCCUGACCCUAAACUCGAACACUAAACCCUAAAACCUAACCUUAACCCCUAAACCCGAUCCCGAACCAUAACCCUAACACUAAACUAAACCCUAAACCCUAACCUGUGUAGGGAGUGAGGAGGUGGGAGGGACUAGGCUGGGCGCUGUGAAGGGACUCAGGAGGUGGGAGAGACCAUGCAGGGCCCUGUAUAGAGAGUGAGAGACCAGGCAGGGCACUGUAUAGGGAGUAAGAUGGUGGGACAAAAGAGACAGAAACCUGUGUAGGGAGUGAAGAGCUGAGAGACCAGACAGAGACCUUUGUAGGGAGUGAGGAGGUGGGUGAGACCAGGCAGGGCCCUGAGUAGGGAGAGAGGAGAUGGAAGAGACCAGGCAGGGACAGGUGUAGGAAGUGAGGAGGUGGGAGGGACCAGGAAGGGCCCUGUGUAAGGAGUGAGGAUGUGGAAGAGAACAGGCAGAGAACUGUGUAGGGAGUAAGGAGGUGGGACAGACCAGGCAGAGACCUUUACAGGGAUGGAGGAGGUGGGAGAGAAAAGGCGGGGCCCUGAGUAGGGAGUGAGGAGCUGGGAGCAACCAGGCACGGCCAUGUCUAGGGAGUGAGGAGGUGGGAGAGGUCAGGCAGGGACCUGUGUAGGGAGUUAGGCCUUAGGAGAGACCAGGCAGAGACCUGCAUAGGGAGUGAGGAGGUGAGAGAGACCAGGUAGGAUGCUGUGUAAAGAGUGAGGAUGUAGGAGAGACCAGGCAGGGCCCUGUGUAAGGAGUGAUGAGGUGGGAGAGACGAAGCAGGGACCUGUGUAGGGAGUGAGGAAGUGGGAGAGGCCAGGCAGAGACCUGUGUAGGGAGUGAGGAGGUGGGAGAGAAUAGGCAGAAACCUGUGUAGGGAUUGAGAAGAUGGUAGACAGCAGGCAGGGCCCUGUGUAGGGAGUGAAGAGGUGGGAGAACCAUUCAGAGACCUGCAUAGGGAGUGAGGAGAUGGGAGAGACCAGGAAGGGCCCUCCGUAGGGAGUGAGUUGGCCAGAGAUCAGGCAUGUCCCUGUAUGGAGUAAGGAUAUGGGAGAGACCAGGCAGGGCCCUGUGCAGGGAGUUAGGAGGUGGGAGAGAAGAGGCAGAGAAGAGUGUAGGGAGUGAGGAGGUGGGACAGACCAGGCAGGGCUCUGUGCAUAGAGAAGAUGGGAGACACCAGACAGGGCCCUGUGUAGGGAGUGAAGAAGAGGGAGACCCAGGCAGAGUCCUGCUUAGGGAGUGAGGAGAUGGGAGAGACCAGGCAGAGCCAAGUAUAGGGAGUGAGGAGAUGGGAGAGACCAGGCAGGCCCUGUGUAAGGAGUGAUGAGGUGGGAGAGACCAAGCAGGACCCUGUGCAGGGUGUGAGGGGGAGGGAGCAUCCAGGCAGGGCCCUGUGGAGGGAGUGAGGUGUUGGGAGAGACCACACAGGUCCUGUGUAGGGAGCGAGAAUGUGCCAGAGAUCAGGCAGGGCCCUGUGUAGAGAGUGAGGAGGUGGGAGAGAACAGACAGAGACAUAUGUAGGGAGUAAGCAGAAGGGAGACACCAGGCAGGGCCCUCUGUAGGGAGUGAGGAGGAGGGACAUACCAGGCAGGGCCCUGUGUAAGGAGUGAGGAGGUGGGAGAAUCCAGGCAGACACCUGUGUAGGGAGUGAGGAGCUGGAAGAGACCAGGCAGGGACCUGUGUAGGUCCUGAGGAGGUGGGAGAGGCCAGGCAGCGUCCUGUGUAGGGAGUGAGAAGGUGGGAGAGACCAGGCAGGGCCCUAUGUUGGGAGUGAGGAUGCAGGAGAGAAGAGGCAGAGAUGUGGGAGAGACCAGGCAAAGACCUGUGAAGGGACUGAGGAGGUGGGAGAGACCUGGCAGGGCCCAGUGUAGGGAGUGAGUAUCUUGGAGAGAAGAGGCAGAGACCUGUGUAGGGAUUGAGAAGAAGGAGAGACCAGGCCGGGCCCUGUGUAGGGAGUGAGGAGGUGGGAGAGGCCAGGCAGAGCCCUGUGUAGCGAGUGAGGUGUUAGGAGAGACCAGGCAGGGCCCUGUGUAGGGAGUGAUGAGGUGAGAGAGACCAGGUAGGACCCUGUGUACAGAGUGAGGAUGUGGAAGAGAACAGGCAAGGCUGUGUGUAGGAAGUAAGGUGGUGGAGAUACCAGUCAGGGACCUGUGUAGGGAUUGAGGAAGUGGGAGAGACCAGGCAGGACCCUGUGUAGGGAGUGAGGAGGUGAUAGAGAACAGGUAAGGCCCUGCAUACACAGUGAGGAGUUGGGAGAGACCACCCAGAUACCUGAGUAGGGAGUCAGGAUGUGGGAGAGAUCAGGCAGAGCCCUGUGUAGGAAGUGAGGUGUUAGGAGAGACCAGGCAGGGCCCUGUGUAGGGAGUGAGGAGGUGGGAGAGACCAGGCAGUGGCUUGUUUAGGGAGUGAGCAGGUGCGAGAGAACAUCAGGGCCCUGUGUAGGGAGUGAGGAGGAGGGAGAAAACAGGCUAACACCUGUGUAUGUAGUAAGGAGGUGGGAAAGACCACCCAGAGACCUGUGUAGGGAUUGAGGAAUGGGAGGGAACAGGCAGAGAACUGUGUAGGGAGUGAGGAGGUAGCAGAGACCAGGCAAGGCCCUGUGUAGGGAGCGAAGAGGUGGAGAACCAGGCAGAGUCCUGCAUAGGGAGUGAGAAGGCGAGAGAGGACAGGCAGAGCCCUGCGUAGGGAGUGAGGAGGUGGGAUUGACUAGGCAGGACCCUGGGUAGGGUGUGAGGAGGUGGGAGAUUCCAGGCAGGGCCCUUUGUAGGGAGUGAGGUGUUGGGAGAGACCAGGCAGAGUCCUGUGUAGGGAGUGAGGAUUUGGGAGAGACCAGGCAGGGCCCUGUGUAUGGCCUGAGGAGGUUAGAAAUACCAGGCAGGGCCCUGAGUAGGGAGUGAGGAAGUGGGAGAGAAGAGGCAGGGCCCUGUCUAGGGAUUGAAGAGGUGGGAGAGAACAGGCAGAGACCCUUGUAGGGAAUGGGGAGGUGGGAGAACCAUGCCGAGACCUGUGUAGGGAUGGAGAAGGUGGGAGGGACCAGUUAGGGCCCUGUGUGUGCAGUCAGGAUGUGAGAGAGAGGAGGCAGGGCCCUGUGUGAAUUGAGGAUGGGGGAGAGGCCAGGCAGGGCCCUGUUUAGGGAGUGAGGAGGUGGGAGAGAUCAUCAGGGCCCUGUAAAGGGAGUGAGGAGGUGAGAGAGGCCAGUCAGGGACCUGUGUAGGGAGUUAGGCGUUAGGAGAGACCAGGCAGGGCCCUGUGUAGGGAGUGAGGAGGUGGGAGAGACCAGGCAGAGACCUGCAUAGGGAGUGAGGAGGUGAGAGAGACCAGGUAGGAUGCUGUAUAAAGAGUGAGGAUGUAGGAGAGACUAGCCAGAGCCCUGUGUAGGGAGUAAGGAGGUGGAGAGACCAGGCAGGGUCCUGUUUAGGGAGUGAGGAGGUGGGAGAGAUCAUCAGGGCCCUGUAAAGGGAGUGAGGAGGUGGGAGAGACCACCCAGAUACCUGUGUAGGGACUGAGGAGGUGGGAGAGAAAAGACAGAGCCCUGUGUAGGGAGUGAGGAGGUGGGAGAUACCAGGCAGGGCCCUGUGUAGGGAGUGAGGAGGUGGCAGGGAGCAGUCAGAGACCUGUGUAGGGAGUGAGGAGGUGGCAGAGACCAGGCAGGGCCCUGUCUAGGGAGUGAGGAGUUGGAAGAGACCAGGCAGAGACCUGUGUACUGAGUCAGGAGGUGGGAAAGAACAGGCAGGACUGUGUUUAGCAAGUGAGGGGGUGAGAGAGAAUAGGCAGAAACUUGUGUAGGGAGUGAGAAGAUGGAAGACAGCAGGCAGGGCCCUGUGUAGGGAGUGAAGAGGUGGGAGAAACAUUCAGAGACCUGAAUAGGGAGUGAGGAGUUCAGGCAAGUCCCUUUGUAUGGAGUAAGGAUGUGGGAGAGACCAGGCAGGGCCCUGUGCAGGGAGUGAGGAGGUAGGAGAGAUCAGGCAGGGACUGGUGUAGGGAGUGAGGAGGUGGGAGAGACCAGGCAGGGCCCCGUGUAGGAAGUGAGGAAGUGGGAAAGAACAGGCAGAAAGCUGUGUAUGGAGUGAGAAGAUGGGAGACACUAGCCAGGGCCCUGUGUAGGGAGUGAAGAGGUGGGAGAACAAGGCAGGGUCCUGCAUAGAGAGUGAGGAGGUGGGAGAGGACAGGCAGAGCCCUGCUUAGGGAGUGAGGAUGUGGGAGAGACAAAGCAGGGCUCUUUGUAAGGAGUGAUGAGGUGGGAGAGACUAGGCAGGACCCUGCUAGGGGUUAUUGAUAUUGUAAGGGUUAGGUUUAGGGUUAGGGUAGGGGUAAGUUAGGGUUAAGGCUAGCUUUACUGUAAAGGGUGGGGCCAGGUUAGGGUUAGGGUUAGGUUUAGAGUUCGAGUUAGAUCUAGGGUUUAGGGUUAGGGUUAGGGUCCGGUUUAGAGUUAUUGUUAGGUUUAGGGUUAGGGUUAGGGUAGAGUUAAGGUUAGGGUUAAGUUUAGGGUUAGGGUAAGGAUUAAGUUUAGGUCAGGGUUAGGGUUAGGAUGAGUGAUAGGGUUAGGGAAAGGGUUAGGGGUUCGUGUGACGGUUAGUGUUACAUUUACAGUUAAGCUGAUGUUUUAGGGUGUUACUGCCAGGGUUAGGGUUAGAGUUAGGGUUAGGGUUAGGGCGAGAGUUAGAGGAUAGUUUAGGGUUAGGUGUAAUUUUAGGGUUAGGGUUAGGCUUAGGUUUAGGGUGAAGUUUAGGUUAAGGAUGAGGGUUAGGAUUAGGCUUUGGUGUUUAGGUUAAGGUUAGCGUUACAUUUAGGGUUAGGCUUAGUGUUAGGUUUUGCGUUAAGUGUUUGGGUUAAUGUUAGGGUCAGGUUUAAGGUUAGGUUUAGGGUUAGGGUUAGUGUUUGGUUUAGGGUUAGGGUUAGGGUGAAGUUUAAGUUAAGGGUGAGUGUUGAGCUUAGGGUUAGUGUUGGGGUUAGGGUUAGGGUUAAGGUUAGAAUUAAGUUUAGGGUUAAGGUCAGGUUUAGAGUUAGGGUAAGUGUUAGGGUUAAGUCAUAGUUAGGUUUAGGACUAGUUUUUAGUUAGAGAUAGGGUUGGGUUCAGGGUUGGGCUUAGGUUUAGAUGUUAGGGUGAGGGAUAGUGCUAGGUUUCCAUUCAAACUGAGUGUGUAGGGUAAGUUUUAGGGUUAAAGUUAGAGUUAGAGUCAGGGUUAGGUUUAAGUUUAGUGUUGGGAUUAUGUUUAUGGUUAGGGUCAGGGUUGGGGAGAUUUAGUGUUUAGGGUUACAGUGAAUUUAUGUUCUGCGAGAGGGUUAGGGUUAGGGGUUUGGGUUCGGGUUAGGGGUUUGGGUUAGAGUCAGGGUUAGGGUUAGGUUUAGGGUUAGGGUUAGGUUUAGUGUUAGUGUUAGUUUUGCUUAGGGUUAGGGUUUGAAUGAAGUUAGGGUAGGCUUAGCGUUAUGCUUAGGGUGAAAUUUUGGUUAAGGGUGAGGGUUCGGCUUAGGCUUAGGGUUAGAGUUAGGGUCAGUGGUUAGGGUUAGGUUUAGGGUUAAGGUUAGGUUUAGGCUAAGGAUUAGGGUUAGAGUUACGGUUAAGGGUUAACAUUUCAGUUAGGUUUAGGUUAGGGUUAUAAUUAGGGUUAAGUUUAGGGUUAGGGUAAGAGUGAGAGUUACAUUUACAGUUAAGAUGAGGGUUUUGGGUAAGUGUUACAGUUAAGAUUAGGGUUAGGGCUAGGGUUAGGGUUAGAGUUAGGUUUAAGAUUAUGGUAGGCUUAAAGAUAGGGUUAAGGUUAGGUUAGGGUUAGGGUCAGGGUUAGGAUUAGAAUUAGGUUUAGGGUGAGGAUUAGGGUCAGAGUUAUUGUAAGGUUUAGGUUUAGGGUUACAGGUGGGCCAAGGUUAAGGUGAGGGUUAGGUUUAGGGGUAGGGUUAGGGUUAAAGUUAGAGCGAGUUUUAGGUUAGGAAUAGGGUGAAGUUUAAGACAGGGUGAGGGUUAGGGUUAUGGCUAAGGUUUGGGCUUGUUUUCAGGUUAGUGUUAAGGUUAUGUUCAGGGUUAGGUUUAAGUUCAUGGGUUGUGUUUAGUUUUAGGGUUAGGGUUAGAUUUAAGGUUAGGGUUAAGUUUAGUGUUACGGUUAGGGUAAGGGUUACGGUUGUGUUAGGCGUUGUGGUUGGGGUGAGGGUUAGGUUUAGGGUUAGGGUUGGGUAGGGUUUGGAUUAUGGUUAUGGUAAGGUGUUAGAGUUAGAGGUGUAGUUUAGGAUUAGGUUUUGGGUGAGGGUUCCGGUUAGACCUUGUGGUUCUGGUCAUGGUUAGGUUUGGUUUAGGGUUAGGGUUAGGUUCAUGAUUAGGUUUCGGGUUAGUGUUAGAGUUAGGGUGAGAGUUAGGGUUAAGGUUUUUGCUAGGCUUUCGCUUUGGUGUUAGGGUUUGGGUUAGGGUUAGGGUUAUCAUUAGGGCUCAGGGGUUUCAGGUUAGUGUUAGGGUUAGGGUUAGGGAUAGCAUUAGGGUUAGCGUUGUGGGAUACGGUUAGGGGUUAGGGUGAGGGUUACGGUUAGUUUUACAGUUAAGGUGAGGGUUUAGGGUAAGUGUUAUGAUUAGGGUUAGAGUUAGAGUUAGGGUUAGGUUUAGGGUUAGGGUUAGGUGUAGGGUAAGAUUUAGGUUUAGGUCCAAGUUGAGGGUUAGACUUAGUGUUCUAUUUAGGGUCAAGGUUAGAGUUAGGGUUAGGGUUAGGAUUAGGUCUAGGAUUAGGAUUAAGUUUAGGGUUAGGUUCAGGGCUAUUGUAAGUGUUCGGUUUAGGGUUACAGAUGGACUAGCGUUAUUCUUAGAGUUAGGUUUAAGGUUAGGGUUUGGGUUAGGUCUAGGUUUAGGGUUAAGGUUAUGGUUAGUGUUUGGAUGAAGUUCAGGAUAGGGUGAGGGUUAUUUUUAUGGUGAGGGCUAGGGUUUGGGUUUGUGUUCAGGUUAGUGUUAAGGAUAGGUUUAGGGUUCGGUUAGGGUUAGGCGUUAUGUCUAGGGUCAGCGUUAGGUUAGGUUUAGGGUUAGUGUCAAGUUUAGGUUAAGGGUGAGGGUUAUGAUAAGGGUUAGGAUUAUAGACGGUGUUAGACGUUAGGUUUCGGGUGUUAGGGUUAGGUUUAUGGUUAGGGUAGAUUUAAGUUUAGGUUUAAUAUUAGGGUUAGGGUUAGAUUUGGGUUACUGUUCGUAUUAGGGUUAGGGUUAGGGAUAAGUUUGGGGCUAGCGUUAGGUUUAGGGUUGGGGAUACGGUUAAGGAUUAGGGUGAGGGUUAGGGUUAGGUUUACAGUUAAGGCGAGGGUUUAGGGUAAUUGUUAUGGUUAGGGUUAGAGUUAGAGUUAGGCUUAGGGUUAGGGUGAAGUUUCAGUUAGUAGUCAGGGUUAGGCUUAAGGUUAGAGUAGGGUUAAGGUUAGUGUUCGGGUUAGGUAUAGCGUUAGGGUAUGGGUAGGGGUAAGGUUAGGGUUAAGGCUAGGUUUACGGUAAAGGGUAGGGCUAGCUUAGGGUUAGAUUUAGAGUUAGAGUUAGUGCUAGGGUUUAGGAUUAUGGUUAUGGUCAGGUUUAGAGUUAUUGUUAGGGUUAGGGUAGAGUUAA